rnacentral:rRNA from 1 species
CCUCCGGGUGGCUGCAGUGGGGAAUAUUGCACAAUGGGCGCAAGCCUGAUGCAGCCAUGCCGCGUGUAUGAAGAAGGCCUUCGGGUUGUAAAGUACUUUCAGUCGUGAGGAAGGUGUUAAGGUUAAUAACCUUAGCAAUUGACGUUAGCGACAGAAGAAGCACCGGCUAACUCCGUGCCAGCAGCCGAGGUAAUAGGGAGGGUGCGAGCGUUAAUCGGAAUUACUGGGCGUAAAGGGCACGCAGGCGGUUAAUUAAGUUGGGUGUUACAUCCCCGGGCGUAACCUGGGAAUGGCAGUCAAGACUGGUUAGCUAGAGUCUUGUAGAGGGGGGUAGAAUUCCAUGUGUAGCGGUGAAAUGCGUCGAGAUGUGGAGGAAUUACGGUGGCGAAGGCGGCCCCCUGGACAAAGACUGACGCUCAUGGGCGAAAGCGUGGGCAGCAAACAGGAUUAGAUACCCCUGUAGGC